AUAUCUAAUGCGGGAUGAUGUCGAUCUUCGUCAAUUAGCUUAAUAGCCUUUUCACACCAAGCCAAAAACGCAGUUUUUGCGAAAAACCCUAAAAACCUAUACCAAAAACACAAGUUUUUCCAUACAUUUUUCAUAAACCACAAGUUUUCGUAAAACACAAGUUUUUGAUUAAACUCGCCAAAAACCUGAAAAUGAAAACAUUCAACUUCAGACGAAAUAACCAAACAAACCUUUUGAAGAAUUCAGCACAAAUUCAGCAGACAAAAAAAAAAUGACAGAAGACAAAAAAAAAAAGAACUGAUAGGCAAAAAUUACAGUUGUUUUACAGUUGCAGUUUGUUUAUUUUUGUAUCUGAAAAUGGAAGAGCAGAAAAAAAAACAUAAAAAAAAGAUGUGGGGAACCGAUGACGAAGAGUAGGAACAAAUUCAUUAUUUUCCGAUAUAUCUAUGUACAUACAAAAUUGUUUGUAAAUCUUUAAUUUCCAGGAAGGAAAAAAAAAUCAUUGGUCCAUCCGGAGGUUCCCCAUCCGAAUGGGCUUUAUACAAUAAAGUACACAGCAUUCUUGGAGGACACCGGAUACACAAUUGAGAGUUUGUUGUGGAAGACAGUCGUCCUUCAGAGUCCGUUUCCAAUUCAAGUGGGUCUACGGCUGCAGUUUCAUCAUUAGAUAGAGGACCAUGAGUAUUCAGAAUGCUCCAACAAAGAAAACCCAUUAUCUCCAUCGCCUGAUGAGGGUGCAUCCACAUCUAAAGCAAAAAAAAGAAAAAUAUGUGGUGAAAAACUAAAGGCUAUUGAUGAAGAGCUUCUAAAAUAUAGUAAAGAGGAAUCACAAAAAUCAUUAAGAAUUGAAGAAGAAAAACUUGCAUGCUUUAAAGAGUUUGUUGCUGAUGCAAAAGAGUUCAAUGCAUCUGUACUUGACAUUUUACGAAAAAAUAAAUAAAUUAUAGUACCUAACUAAAAAUAAUGGUUUCAUAAUCUUUGAUUGUGUUAGUUUGAAUUGAAUGUGGUUUUCAGGAUUUGUUUUCAGGAUCUAAAUAAGAAUCAAGA